rnacentral:rRNA from 1 species
AGUGAACGCUGGCGGUAGGCCUAACACAUGCAAGUCGAACGGCAGCACAGUAAGAGCUUGCUCUUACGGGUGGCGAGUGGCGGACGGGUGAGGAAUACAUCGGAAUCUACUUUUUCGUGGGGGAUAACGUAGGGAAACUUACGCUAAUACCGCAUACGACCUACGGGUGAAAGCAGUGGAUCUUCGGACCUUGCGCGAUUGAAUGAGCCGAUGUCGGAUUAGCUAGUUGGCGGGGUAAAGGCCCACCAAGGCGACGAUCCGUAGCUGGUCUGAGAGGAUGACAGCCCACACUGGAAGUGAACAACGGUCCAGGCCCCUGCGGGAGGCGGGAGGGGGAAAUAGGGAACAAUGGGCGCAAGCUUGACCAAGCAAUACCGCGUGGGGAAAAAAGGCUUUGGGGUUGAAAACCCUUUUUGUGGGAAAAAAAAAGAAGCGGUUAAAUCCCCCGCUGUUCUGACGGACCCAAAAAAAAAGCCCCCGGCAAACUUCGUG